rnacentral:lncRNA from 1 species
UGACCAUUGAGGAACAUGAGGUGUUAGAAGUGAUUGAAGAUGGAGAUAUGGAAGACUGGGUAAAGGCUCGAAAUAAAGUUGGCCAAGUGGGUUAUGUGCCAGAAAAGUACCUACAGUUUCCCACCUCGAACAGCCUCCUGAGCAUGCUGCAGUCCCUGGCCGCUUUGGACAGUCGGUCACACACGUCCAGCAAUUCCACGGAAGCAGAACUCGUUUCAGGCAGCCUCAACGGAGAUGCCAGUGAUCUCUCCUUCCCCCAAGCCACACGCCUCCCUGCCUCCACUGCCGUUGUACGACCAGCCUCCCAGCAGCCCCUACCCCAGCCCAGAUAAGAGGAGCUCCCUGUACUUUCCCCGGUCUCCUUCAGCAAACGAAAAAAGCCUUCAUGCUGAGUCACCAGGAUUCUCACAGGCAUCAAGGCAUACUCCUGAGACCUCAUAUGGCAAACUGCGACCUGUCCGGGCAGCUCCCCCUCCACCUACACAGAAUCACCGAAGGCCAGCAGAGAAGAUUGAAGAUGUGGAAAUCACACUGGUGUGAUGAUGGGCUUGCCCAUCCAUUACUGCUACAAUCAAGGCCAGGCUUGGAGUUUGGCCAGUCUUGUUUUUUAGGCACCUUUGCAUGAUGAUGACUCUUGAACAGAGCAAAAAACAAGGAGGAUUAUGUGUGACUGGGUGGCCUGGUAGACUCCUCCCACGUUUUGAAUAUUUCGUGCCUUUUUUUUUUGUUGUCAUUUUCUAUGUCAUUUCUCCUACCAUAGCACAAAUCCUAGCGGACCCUAGGAGCAAAGAGGGGGGCAGCCCUCAUGCCUAACAGUGGUCUGUUUUUAUAUGAGACUCAAGAACAGGCCUCAUUCCAGGGCACAGUCCCUAAAUUACUGAUCAUGUGCACUCGUACAGUAUAUUACUGUGACCACAAGGAUGUGGCAAAGA